rnacentral:misc_RNA from 1 species
UCUCGAUUUAAACACAAUCGUCGUGUCUGGUACGACAGAGCUGGGCCGACGGAGCCGAGAGAACUCGGCGCUGUUCUCGCGACCGCAGCAAAGCUUCGGACACAUGUAUUUGUAGACGACGAGUCGAAUCGGAUGAAGUAAGACUUUUAUAGGAUAAAGUACCUGGGCGACCGAGCUUAGCUCUGUAUUUUUAGUAAAUCGUGUUUUUUGAAAAUCGUAUUUAAAUACGAAUUACAUAUUGAUAAAAUAUGAAUAAUAUUUUUUGAUUUUACCGACAUAAUAAUAAAAAAUAUGAAACAGGUUAUUUAAAUAAAAAAUCAUGAGUGCAAUUAGAAAA